rnacentral:rRNA from 1 species
GACGAACGCUGGCGGCGUGCUUAACACAUGCAAGUCGAACGGAAAGGCCCUGCUUUUGUGGGGUGCUCGAGUGGCGAACGGGGGAGUAACACGUGAGUAACCUGCCCUUGACUUUGGGAUAACUUCAGGAAACUGGGGCUAAUACCGGAUAGGAGCUCCUGCUGCAUGGUGGGGGUUGGAAAGUUUCGGCGGUUGGGGAUGGACUCGCGGCUUAUCAGCUUGUUGGUGGGGUAGUGGCUUACCAAGGCUUUGACGGGUAGCCGGCCUGAGAGGGUGACCGGCCACAUUGGGACUGAGAUACGGCCCAGACUCCUACGGGAGGCAGCAGUGGGGAAUAUUGCACAAUGGGCCGAAGCCUGAUGCAGCACCGCCGCGUGCGGGAUGACGGCCUUCGGGUUGUAAACCGCUUUCGCCUGUGCCGAAGCGUGCGUGACGGUAAUGGGUAAAGAAGCACCGGCUAACUACGUG